rnacentral:lncRNA from 1 species
CUCAGCUGAAAACUCCAAGCCACUCUUAGUCGCAUAUUCCAUAAAAUGUCCGCCGGCACAUGCGCUAGUUUCAAUACUAAUCGAAGCCUUCAAAUGCUAUCUGGUAGGGCCCGCCAAGAUUUCUAAAAGUUGUCAAAUUGAAUUUAGUCGCUACACAUGAGUUGUAUGGGAAAAGUGUAAUGGUGAUUUUUUAGAAAGCGUAGAUUAUUUUAGCCCGGCCUAUAAAUAUCCCCACCUAUACCACCAUUCUACGUAAGUCUCUUCAAGUCUUAUGUUGAGUUCAAAUGUCAUUAUUCACCAACAUGCCAUAUCUUUGAUCUCUUUUCUCAUUCCUUGCUUCCCAAGCCCAUCAUUCGAACACUCAACCUCCUCAUAUCCAAGGAUCUAUCCUAUGAGAGUUGUGGAAGAUAUUGUCUCUUGAGGCACAAGCAAACGAAUUAUCACCAACCAACCUUAUAUUGUUACUUGGGGGGUGCUCCUGGAUUGGUAGGUGGUUUGGAAACCUUAAAUGUGUGAGGGGUCAAGGAAGCUUGGGAGAACUUGAUCUACAUCGAAUGACUAUUCACCUUUGUAUUGCAUAAGCCAUGUUGGGACAUGUAUGUAUAUGCUUCGUGGGUUCCUUAUGGGCGUCAAUAACAAGAAAUUUAUGGUUGAAUCUUUGUGGUUCAAACUCACACCAACAGAUAGUAGGAUAGCGCAAACUAUCUGAACCUUAGAAAAAUAAUCUGGUCUCUCUCCUGAACCUUUUACCUUACUUGCAAGUUUUGCUUUCGCUCUUUGCUCUUUCGUAGACUUGCACUUUACUCUUUUGUAGACUUGCAUGUAUAUGGUGUUUUAGGCAACCUCUAGCUAAAAAUAAAAUAUACCAAGACAACAAAUUUAUUGGGCCUCUAAGUUUUUAAUAUUUUAUUCACCCCCACCAACCCUAUUAGAUUCCAAUGAUCCUAAUAAAAUUAUUGCUAAUAAGAAAUCAUAAAAAAUAUAGGUUUAGGAAUUUUUAAGAGGCAAAGAUUCCAAAUGUAAGAACAACAUUGUUACUUUAAUAGAUUUCAAGGUGAAAAAUUAAUUUGUUUUAUUGAACAUAUCAGAACCAUUUAAUUGUUCUCAAGUUAGUCAAAACAUAAAUUUAGGGAGAGGAAACCGGUUAGAUAUAUUAGGAUAAAUUAAAACACUAAAAUAACCCACGGGUCCGAGGAUCAAAUUAGUGCAAUAAAAUUCGUCUUCAUAAUUUAUAACAACGACCUUACGAUUUGUCAUCAUAAUCUAUUGGUGUUUUCUCGGAUAGUCACACGGUUAUGGCUUCAUGUAAGUACGCCUUUUCACUUGUGCCCAUUAAAUUCGGUAUAAUCAUUUUUUAUCACCAGAUUAAAACUCUUCCUAUCAACAAUGAAAUAUCCUUUUUCUUGUGGGUACCAAUCAAGUACUCAAUUUAGUUUUUCUUUCUUUCCAUCUUAGUUGUCGAUUUAGUAGAGGGGGUGCUUGUUCGCUUCUAUUGGAUAAAGUUAUAUAUUUAAUAGAACUAAGUCCAUUAGUUCUGCAUUGAUUCGAUCUUUGCAAACUAUUGUAAAGGGUAGUUAUAUUUACAAUUACCAAAAAUACCAAGUAUUUAAGGAGUGGCCUUAGAUUGUGUUUGUCAUACAAUUAUAAUUCUACUAACAAUGAGUUUAAACAUAUGAAUGAAAUUAAUCCAUCCACCUCGUAGUAAUGUGUUAUUCAAUACAUAAUAUAAUUCUUGUAAAUUUUAAUGUAUACCCUUACAUGUAUGUAUAGUGCAUUGGUCAUAUAUACAUAUAUGUGUAUCUAGGGGUAGCUAAAACUAUCU